rnacentral:lncRNA from 1 species
UACUCCACUGAACAUUUGGCCAAAUAUAUGAUUCCAAGGUGAAUGUGGAUGCCUUUCUUGUCCUAAUGAAAUUGAAACAGUUGGGGCUGUCCUUUUUUUUUUUUUUUUUUUGUACAACUUAGAUUUGAGAGGCUGAUGCCUAUGUCCUCAAAGUAUUAUAUUUCAGUUGUCAAAUGUAGGCACGCAAAGAUUUCAGAAAAUGAUAACCUCGGAGAGUAGUAAAUAUGUGUGUCCCUGACAGCAGUUUCGUUUAGUGGUGUUUUAAUGAGUGGAAACCAUACAUGGAAAUUGAUUGUAGGGAAUAACUUAUGAUUUCCUUGCUUUUAGUAACAUACGUAUAAAAUAAUGAAGAUUUGAUCUAUGGUAGCAACUCUACAAUCAUAUAUGUGGGCCUGACCUCUUUGAUUGAAGCAGCUGCUGCAUAGAGAUGCAAGCACCUUCAUUGAAGCAUUGAAGUUAAAAGUCAUCUAAAGAAGUAAAUAAGUCAUGGCACGCUUAACAAAAAGACAACAGGCAGAUACAGAAGCUAUCCAGCAUCUUUGGGCAUCCAUUGAGAUCAUAAGGAACCAGAAGCAAAUCACCAACAUUGACUGCAUUACAAGUUACUAUUCCAGUUUACUGCCCAAAUGCUGGCAAUGGCUGCCAGCGUUGGGGUAGCAUGGGGCGUCGUGGGAGAGCAGGGAUGCCCAGUUCGUCUGUGGGCAGCCGAGGAGAAGGAUGCAGUGGUGGUAGCGGGGACUCUGGGGAAGUGUCUGCAGGUGAGAGAACAGGAAAACAAUCCCCAGAGUUCUCUCUCAAGCCAAGAGAAUGCAGAAAAACUACAAGAUGAGAUGCAACUGAUUUACCUUUGCCAAAAAAAGGAGGUAAACAUUGCACCAAAGGAAGAGAACUAUGAGGCAUUGAUGAACUGGAAUCUGAAGCUUAUCAACUACUCCUUUCACAUAUAAUGAGAAGACAAAUCUAAAUCAUUAUCUAGUGCUGAAAAUGCAAGAAUGUGUAAAUAUUUAAAAUAAAAAUUAUAUAAUCUGGAGAUAAAUGUUCCUG